rnacentral:rRNA from 1 species
GACAGAGGGUGCAAACGUUGUUCGGAAUUACUGGGCGUAAAGCGCGUGUAGGCGGCCCUGCAAGUCGGAUGUGAAAUCCUACGGCUCAACCGUGGAAGUGCAUUCGAAACUGCAGGGCUAGAGUCCUGGAGAGGAAGGUGGAAUGCUUGGUGUAGAGGUGAAAUUCGUAGAUAUCAAGCGGAACACCGGUGGCGAAGGCGGCCUUCUGGACAGUGACUGACGCUGAGACGCGAAAGCGUGGGGAGCAAACAGG